ACUCAAAUGAAUAGACGGGGGCCCGCACAAGCGGUGGAGCAUGUGGUUUAAUUCGAUGCAACGCGAAAAACCUUACCUAGGUUAGACAACAUCAGACAAUCCCAGAGAUGGGACUUCCCCUUCGGGGGCUGGUGGUUCAGGUGCUGCAUGGCUGUCGUCAGCUCGUAUCGUGAGAUGUUGGGUUAAGUCCUUUAACGAGCGCAACCCUUGUCCAUUAGUUGCCAUCAUUAAGUUGGGCACUCUAAGGAGACUGCCGGUGUUAAACCGGAGGAAGGCGGGGAUGACGUCAAGUCCUCAUGGCCUUUAUAUCUAGGGCUACACACGUGCUACAAUGGUCGGUACAGAGAGUCGCAAACCCGUGAGGGGGAGCUAAUCCCAGAAAACCGAUCUCAGUUCGGAUUGAAGUCUGCAAUUCGACUUCAUGAAGCUGGAAUCGCUAGUAAUCGCAGAUCAGCACGCUGCGGUGAAUACGUUCCCGGGCCUUGUACACACCGCCCGU
rnacentral:rRNA from 1 species